rnacentral:rRNA from 1 species
GCCGCGGUAAAACCAGCACCUCAAGUGGUCAGGAUGAUUAUUGGGCCUAAAGCAUCCGUAGCCGGCUCUGUAAGUUUUCGGUUAAAUCUAUGCGCUCAACGUAUGGGCUGCCGAAAAUACUGUAGAGAUAGGGAGUGGGAGAGGUAGACGGUACUCGGUAGGAAGGGGUAAAAUCCUUUGAUCUAUCGAUGACCACCUGUGGCGAAGGCGGUCUACCAGAACACGUUCGACGGUGAGGGAUGAAAGCUGGGGGAGCAAACCGGAUUAGAUACCCGGGUAGUCCCAGCUGUAAACGAUGCAGACUCGAUGAUGCAUUGGCAUAUAGCCAGUGCAGUGUCGCAGGGAAGCCGUUAAGUCUGCCGCCUGGGAAGUACGUACGCAAGUAUGAAACUUAAAGGAAUUGGCGGGGGAGCACGGUCAUAGCUGGUUUCCUGA